GAUGAACGCUGGCGGCGUGCUUAACACAUGCAAGUCGAACGGGAUCCCGGGGGUUCGCUUCCGGGUGAGAGUGGCGAACGGGUGAGUAAUGCGUGACCGACCUGCCCCAUACACCGGAAUAGCUCCUGGAAACGGGUGGUAAUGCCGGAUGCUCCGGUUGGAUGCAUGUCCUUCCGGGAAAGAUUCUAUCGGUAUGGGAUGGGGUCGCGUCCUAUCAGCUUGAUGGCGGGGUAACGGCCCACCAUGGCUUCGACGGGUAGCCGGCCUGAGAGGGCGACCGGCCACAUUGGGACUGAGAUACGGCCCAGACUCCUACGGGAGGCAGCAGUGGGGAAUAUUGCACAAUGGGCGCAAGCCUGAUGCAGCGACGCCGCGUGCGGGAUGGAGGCCUUCGGGUUGGAAACCGCUUUUGAUCGGGAGCAAGCCCUGG
rnacentral:rRNA from 1 species